CUUUGUAGUAUUAUACACAUGCCACGUACUCUAAUACUUUGAGGUGGUUUGUGUUAGUCUAUGGACACCAUUAGUUCAUAUAAAUUGUGUGUAUAGUGGGGAAGUUCUAAGGAAUUCCUUAGUGUCCAGAUGGGCUGUCCUCUUGACGGAAGAUUGCAACAACACUUGAGAUCCAUUAGUAAAGUACACAGAGGAAUGGCUUCUCUACCAGCAGUGCACUCACCAUCCAAUAGAGACAGUAUUAACUGUAGACAGAACUGCAAGAAGUCAGAUAAGGUCACCUAUAGCUUCUAAAUACAUAUGUACAUCAAGGAGCAAUGGAAAUAAGGUAUUAAAGCACUCCCUUUCCAUUUUAGGUGGUAAAAAGGUGACAAUAAACAAAGCAUUUAUUUAGAAAGAAGAAGGAGGGAUAGUAAGAAAGGAAAGUUGUCUCAUUAUUAACUCAUACCAUAUAGGGCAUAAUGUUAGCAGGACGCAAAUUUUGCAAAAUCUACUAAGAUUCCAUUUUGUGGGUUUUAAUGUCACGAAUUCUACCACAUGUGCCAUGCAGAUAGUAAAGUCUCACAAAAAGGGAGAUAGGGAGCAUUGUAGACUUGCGAUGGCUUUGGCUGCUCUUUUAUUCUAGCAUGGGCUUUUGAAACUGUUUGUGUCCUGAAUUUUCAUUCUCACUAUCGAAAUAACAAGAAGCAAGUGAUAGAGGAUAAACUGCUCAAUCAAGUUAACAUUAUCACUGUUCCUAUUGAUUAUUACUCUCUCCCUGCAAAUGAAGCAGACAAUUCUUUUUGAGCCAAUAGAAGAUGAAGAGGGUCCCAUUGCAGAAGAGCAGCAGUUGUCCAUUAAAACUAUCCUUGAUUUAAGGAAAGCAAUAGGAGAGGCUUCUUUUAUUAAAGUUGGUGAUGAUGAAGGACUAACUUGUUAUUGUGCUAGUUGGGGACAUUGAGUGUACGUGUCAUUUAAAUGAAACUACCGCAUAGUGGGUAUAUUCCAUCUGAGUUCAAUUUCGUUCUUUUUGUUCUCAUUUCUUGUGGAAUGAAUUUUUUCCAAAUGAAAAA